AGAAGAUUAAGAAGAAGGAAACUAAGAAAGAAGUAAUUAGCAGUUCUUCCGAAUCUGAGGAGGAACAAAAGAAGGUUGUUACAAAGAAGGUUGAAACUAAAAAGCGAAAGAAGACAUCUAAGAAAGAAGAAAGUAGCUCAUCAGAGUCUGAGGAGGAAGUACAGAAGAAGACUGUUGAGAAAAAGAAGGGUGACAAUAAGACUCUAAA